CAAGUUCAAGUCACAAUUUAGUUUCAACCAAGUUCACAACCAAGUCUAGUUCCGUGGAGGCCAAGGAGACCACUGCGACAAAUCUUGAUCUUCAUUAUUCGAAGCCGCCGAUUGAUUCUGCACAUAGGAUAGGACAUUAUGAGCUAACAUCUAAAGUUGUCAAAAUUAAAGUAUUGAAUCUAAAGCACACAAUGUGUCAAGUGACUCACAGGAGUAGUUGUGGGUGGCUGAGGUGGAGGGAACAUCAUCGGCGGUGGCGGAGGCAAAGACUGACCCAUGCUCGAAGCAAAAUUCUGCAUGUACUGGAACAUCUGCUCCAUCCUAAUCCGAUUUUCUUCCUCCAUCCUCCGCCGCAUGUCCUCCAUCUGUGCCGCCAUCUCCUCUUGUUUCUUC
rnacentral:lncRNA from 1 species